GAUGCCAGGGGAGAAAGCCUGAAACCACGAUGUGCUUGCACAGGAGUGGUUUUAUGGCUUAACGACCCGCCCAAAUAUGAGCAUAAAAGUGGAGCGUAAGCUUCACGAUAUGCGAAUAUUGGGUAGGAUUGUGAGAGUACGAAGUACGGAGCAAUCCGUGUG
rnacentral:sRNA from 1 species